CUAAAAUAUCAUGAGAAUUCGAUGAUAAAAUAUACUCCUAAAACAUUCCCUCUUUCCACGAUUUGAGCUAAUAUUAUAAGGAAGAGAAACGUGACGAAAUACAGAGGGAAAUAAUUGAAGUCCUCCGACAAUGGUGGCGCGUCGGGUUUUAUGAAUUGCAAUUCUGCAUACAAUUCGAUGGAAAUGCCUGGAAGGCGAUCUAAUUACGCUCUAUUAAGUCAGAAUCCCGACGAACCAGUGGCUCAACGGCCUCUUUACUCCGGCGAGAAGACUAAUUUGAAGUUUGAUCGAAUUAAUCAGGCGCAGAGUGGGAGUAGCUUCGGUGAGAGCUCGCUCGAUAUUAGUAGUAAUUUGAGUGAAUUCUGCGGCUGGUCGUCUUCGAAAAGCUGGGCUCAGCAGACGGAGGAGAGCUACCAGCUGCAGUUGGCUUUGGCUAUUCGACUCUCCUCGGAGGCUACAUGUGCUGACGAUCCUAAUUUUUUGGAUCCCGUGCCUGACCAAGCGGCGUCCAUUGCUUCUUCCUCACCUGCCUCUGCGGAGGCCAUUUCUCAUCGAUAUUGGAGAAAUGGUUGCUUGUCAUAUUUUGACCGAAUACCUGAUGGAUUUUACAUGAUUCAUGGAAUGAAUCCAUAUGUUUGGACUGUGUGCUCUGAUCACCGGGAAAGUGGCCUCAUUCCUUCCCUUGAAUCGUUAAGGACCGUUGAUCCUGCCUUUGUUUCUUCAGUUGAAGUUAUUUCAGUAGAUCGACGAGGUGAUCCUAGCUUGAAAGAACUGCAGAAUCGAACUAACAACUUGUCUUCUAGUUGCAUCACCACAAAGGAAGUUGUUGAACAGCUAGCAAAGCUAGUUUGUAAUCAUAUGGGGAAUGCAGCGUGUAAUGGGGAAGAUAACUUGGUCACCCCUUGGAAAGAGUGCAGUUAUGAGUUAGAAGAUUGCCUGGGUUCAGUAGUUCUCCCGAUCGGCAGUCUGACGAUUGGCCUUUGCCGACACCGCACACUGCUAUUCAAAGUUCUAGCUGAUGAUAUUGGCUUACCAUGUCGAAUUGCAAGGGGGUGUAAAUAUUGUACCAGAGAAAAUGCUUCGUCGUGCCUUGUUCGCUUUGGGUUUGACAGGGAGUAUCUUGUCGAUUUGAUUGAGAAACCAGGAUGCUUAUAUGAGCCAGAUUCCUUACUGAAUGGUCCUUCUACUAUCUCAAUUUCAUCACCUUUACGCUUUCCACGGGCGCAGGUGGAACCUCCAACUGAUUUUAGGCUGCUGGCCAAACAGUUCAUCUCGGAGAUUCAGUCUCUUAAUUCUGAGUUUGGUGGUUUGUUAGCAGAAGGGAACCACAUGGAUAGAACCAGCUGCCUGCCCAGUUCAAGUAACCGGGAGAAAAUUUCUAUCACACCACAAUAUGCUUCAAAUUCUUGGAUCAAAGUUCACGGUCAAGAACAUCUGCUUUCCAGACCAUCUGACUUUCAGAAUAUUAUGGGCUCCUCAUAUACAUUCGAACACUCGAUCCCUUUGAAGCUUCUUCCUCAUAUGGGGCAUGAAACUGCUCAAUUUGUUCCCUUCACGAAUCCAAGAAUAGAAAGAAGUAAAAAUGCGAGGUUUGGUGAAGGAGGUCAAUUAGUCCCAUGUGAAUCAAGUGAAUAUACCUUCUAUGUGGAUGAUUUAAACAUUCCAUGGAGUGACCUUGUUUUAAAGGAGAUAAUUGGGGCAGGUUCAUUUGGAACAGUUCAUCGUGCUGAGUGGAAUGGAUGUGAUGUUGCUGUAAAAAUUCUCAUGGAACAAGACUUUCACGCAGAGCGAUUCAAAGAGUUUAUACGAGAGGUGGCAAUUAUGAAACGACUGAGGCAUCCAAAUAUCGUGCUUUUUAUGGGUGCUGUAACAGAACCACCUAACUUGUCUAUAGUUACGGAAUAUCUAUCAAGAGGUAGUCUGUACAGACUUUUGCAUAAACCUGGUGCAGGAGAGGUACUAGAUGAAAAACGCCGUCUGAGCAUGGCUUAUGAUGUGGCGAAAGGGAUGAACUAUCUUCACAAACACAAUCCACCAGUUGUUCAUCGAGACCUGAAAUCUCCCAAUCUUUUAGUUGAUAGAAAAUAUACUGUGAAGGUCUGUGAUUUUGGUCUUUCCCGUUUAAAAGCAAACACAUUUCUUUCAUCCAAGUCUGCUGCUGGAACUCCUGAGUGGAUGGCACCUGAAGUGCUCCGUGAUGAACCGUCAAAUGAAAAAUCAGAUGUGUACAGUUUUGGUGUUAUUUUGUGGGAGCUGGCAACAUUGCAGCAACCUUGGGGUAACCUGAAUCCUGCACAGGUUGUGGCAGCUGUUGGUUUUAAAGGAAAAAAGUUGGAAAUUCCUCGAGAUGUGAAUCCUGAGAUAGCAGCCAUUAUCGAGGCCUGCUUGGCCAAGGAAUCCUGGAAAAGGCCCUCCUUUUCCAGUAUCAUGGAAUCAUUGAGACCAUUGAUUAAGAAUUCACCACCAACUCAACCAGGUUCUGCUGAAAUGCCUUGGCUCACGUGAAAUUGUGUGAAUCAAGGAAGAGUGGCGCUUUUAUUUCUCAUUCUGUUUGAUUUCAGAUUGGAAGAGUGGCCAUAUUAAGUAAGGUCAGGCCUCCCUGUAAAUAUCACGAAUCUGAAAAUAUGAGAAUCCGCAUCAGGUUUUGCAAGUCAUUUAUAUUUUCUUUUUCGGCUGUGCAAUGCCACAUUGGAAAAUGUAUGUGUUUAUAAAUCAAGGAAAUAUGUGUGUGUAAUUGGAAAAACAUUAGUUAUAAGAAAUCAUAUGUUGCUAUCAA